AAAUAAAUAAAAUAGGUUCCUUAUCUCUAUGUGAUUUAUAUCCUAUGUCAAGCAUUAAAUACCUCAGAAGAAAAACCCUACUUAUUUUUAUCUUUAGCAGGCAAUACAGAGGCAGGUUCAUUGUGCUUAUAAAAGAUUAGAUAAAGAGUUAGAUGUAAGAGCAAUUGAAUAUUUUUCACAUUUUAAAAAAAUUUUAAGUCUUAGUCUCUCCAAAAAAACGUUGUAAAAGAGACAGCCUUGAUAAUCGGAUAGUCCAAGUGCUCCCUCGUAAGUUUCAGACCUCUUUGCAGUUGUCAGGGACAGACAAAUAGUUUCAUCCAGUAACAAAUGAGUAGAUGUGACACGUGUCACUUGUGAGCCAAGGCAUUUAGGAGACCAUGCAUAAGCCUCCAACUUUCUCUCCUUUACCUUUGGCAAGCUCAAAUUCAUAUGUUGAGACAGAAAAGUCAAAAAUGGGGUACCGUGGACCACUGGAUGGAGAAAAGUCCUGCUAGGUUAUAGCAGACUCUUUCAAGAAAGAAAUAAAACUUGUUCUGUUAAGUAACUAAGAUUUUAGAAAUUAUCUGUUACCAUAACAUUGUCCAAUCUAUUUUAUUUUAUUUUAUUGAGACAGAGUUUCCCUCUGUUGCCCAGGCUGGAGUACAGUGGUGUGAUCUCAGCUCACUCCAACCUCUGCCUCCCAGGUUCAUGCAGUUCUCCUGCCUCAGCCUCCUGAGUAGAUGGGGUUACAGGGGCCUGCCACCAUGCCAUGGUAAAUGCAAGGAACAUUUUAUUCAACCGAACCCUGGAACUAGACCAGAAGAACUAUACAGAGAGCCAUGUCAGGCCUCUGGAAGGUAUGCCGUUUCACAAGGGGGUAGAACUGUCUAGAGGUCACAACACUGAACAUAUCCUCAAGUGAUUUGCUCUUUUAGAAAGUGAGUGCUGUCUGGAAAUCAGCAAAAUCUUCCCUGAGUCUUUUGCCAAACUCUUCUUGAAUUGUACCUAAAGUACCUGAUCUGGCGUAUGUAAGUGUGAUUUUCAUGGUAUGUGCAUCGUGCCAGAAACCCAGGUGAUCUGGGCAGUCCCUCCUCUCCCUUGCAUUGUGACUUGUUAUGUUCCACAGCCUCAGACAAUUUGCACAUUCUCUCCCACCUCACAAAACCCUUUAUCAUCUUCAUGAUGAAUUUUCACUGGAUCUCCUCAGCAAAGAGGUCAAACAAUGGAACCCUGACCUUAUGUAGAUUCAUCAAUCUCUAGUAUCCAGGCAACUUCAAAAAAAUCCAAAUUUCUGCUGACCAUAGUAGUGCAGUUAGCAUGCUGACAUUAGGGAAUUUAUAAAACCUCCUUGCACCUCAGUUUACUCAGGUGCAAGUCUGAUGCCAAUGAUGUGCCUCCCUUCCAAGACUGUUGUAAGGAUUAAAUGAGUAAGCCCAAGGUAAGAUCUGAGAACACUUUCUGAUCAAUAAGUGCCAUCUAGGAUAUCUAACCUAUGCUGUCGAUACUGCCAUAUGAGACUCUGGUGUGGAGUUGGUAGGAGACUGAUAUGGAUUGGCUGUGUCCCACCCAUAUCUCAUCUUGAAUUGUAUUCCCAUUAGGCCACAUGUUGUGGGAGGGACCUGGUGGGAAUAAUUUGAAUAAUGGGGAUGGUUUCCCCCAUACUGUUCUCAUGGUAGUGAACAAGUCUCAUGAGAUCUGAUGGUUUUAUCAGGGGUUUAUGCUUUUGCAUCUUCCUUUUUUUUCUCUUUGCCACUACCAUGUGAGAAAUGCCUUUCACCUCCCACCAUGAUUCUGAGGCCUCCCAGCCAUCUGGAACGGUGAGUCCAAUUAAACCUCUUUUUCUUUCCAGUCCUAGGCAUGCCUUUAACAGCAGUGUGAAAACAAACUAAUACAGUAAAUUGGUACCAGUAGAGUGAGAUGUUGCUGAAAAAAUACUGAAAAAUGUAGAAAUGACUUUGGACUUUGGUAAUAGGCAGAAAUCGGUUUGGAGG
ensembl:lncRNA